rnacentral:rRNA from 1 species
AGUACGGCGGAACACGAGAAAUUCCGUCGGAAUCCGCGGGGACCAUCCCGCAAGGCUAAAUACUCCCUAGUGACCGAUAGUGAACCAGUACCGUGAGGGAAAGGUGAAAAGCACCCCGGAAGGGGAGUGAAAUAGAUCCUGAAACCGUGUGCCUACAACAAGUCAAAGCUCGUUAAUGAGUGAUGGCGUGCCUUUUGUAGAAUGAACCGGCGAGUUACGAUUGCAUGCGAGGUUAAGUCGAAGAGACGGAGCCGCAGCGAAAGCGAGUCUGAAUAGGGCGAAUGAGUAUGUAGUCGUAGACCCGAAACCAUGUGAUCUACCCAUGUCCAGGUUGAAGGUGCGGUAAAACGCACUGGAGGACCGAACCCACGUACGUUGAAAAGUGCGGGGAUGAGGUGUGGGUAGCGGAGAAAUUCCAAACGAACUUGGAGAUAGCUGGUUCUCUCCGAAAUAGCUUUAGGGCUAGCCUCGGAAUUGAGAAUGAUGGAGGUAG